rnacentral:rRNA from 1 species
GACGUAGGGCGCGAGCGUUGUCCGGAUUUAUUGGGCGUAAAGAGCUCGUAGGCGGCUUGUUGCGUCGACUGUGAAAACCCGCGGCUUAACUGCGGGCUUGCAGUUGAUACGGGCAGGCUAGAGUUCGGUAGGGGAGACUGGAAUUCCUGGUGUAGCAGUGAAAUGCGCAGAUAUCAGGAGGAACACCGGUGGCGAAGGCGGGUCUCUGGGCCGAUACUGACGCUGAGGAGCGAAAGCGUGGGGAGCGAACAGG